GGCGUCAGGAUGAACGCUAGCGACAGGCCUAACACAUGCAAGUCGAGGGGCAGCACAAGGGAGUAAUCUGAGGUGGCGACCGGCGCACGGGUGAGUAACACGUAUGCAACCUGGCUGUAAGACGGGGAAUAACCCGGAGAAAUCCGGACUAAUACCGCAUAAUACUUAGAAUCCGCAUGGAUUUUAAGUUAAACAUUUAUGGCUUACAGAUGGGCAUGCGUAUGAUUAGCUGGUUGGAGAGGUAACGGCUCCCCAAGGCAACGAUCAUUAGGGGUUCUGAGAGGAAGGUCCCCCACACUGGUACCUGGGACACGGACCAGACUCCUACGGGAGGCAGCAGUGAGGAAUAUUGGUCAAUGGACGCAAGUCUGAACCAGCCAAGUCGCGUGAAGGAAGAAUUGUCCUAUGGAUUGUAAACUGCUUUUGCAGGGGAAUAAAGUGCAUCACGUGUGAUGUUUUGUAUGUACUCUGCGAAUAAGGAUCGGCUAACUCCGUGCCAGCCGCCGC
rnacentral:rRNA from 1 species